rnacentral:lncRNA from 1 species
CGGGCUGUUGCAAGGCCCCCAGAGCGGCUGCACUCCCUGGGGCACUGGCCAGUGCUUCCCUCCGCACACCUGCAGCCUACCCAGUGGGUGCAGCCCAGCCCCGAUCCCCAAGGCCGACAGUCCUGCAUCAUGGGACCAGAAGAAGCCAGCCUCCCUGUUUCCAGUGAGAAACCACAGCCCAUGUGGUCUUCAUAGAGCAGGGAGGAAGUCCCUCCCACCGAGGGUGGUCUCUGGAAACGAGCUCAGGCCAGUUCUGCACAGAUCAGGCAUAGCUUGCAGGAACCAAAGCAAUCCCGACGAGCAAGGAGGAGUGAGGGAAGGAAUCCAAGAACAAGCGAAGCAGAAGUGACAAGAUCUUGGAGGAGGGUGGCAGGAGAUCAUUUAAAAGACAGCCAGCGUAUGGCCCA